UACGUAGGGGGCAAGCGUUGUCCGGAAUCAUUGGGCGUAAAGAGCGUGUAGGCGGCUCGCAAAGUCUGGUGUGAAAACUUGAGGCUCAACCUCAAGCUGUCACUGGAUACUGGCGGGCUUGAGUCCGGAAGAGGAGAGUGGAAUUCCUGGUGUAGCGGUGAAAUGCGCAGAUAUCAGGAGGAACACCAAUGGCGAAGGCAGCACUCUGGGACGUGACUGACGCUGAGACGCGAAAGCGUGGGGAGCAAACAGG
rnacentral:rRNA from 1 species